rnacentral:rRNA from 1 species
CGUACACUCCUGCGGGAGGCAGCAGUGGGGAAUAUUGCACAAUGGGCGCAAGCCUGAUGCAGCCAUGCCGCGUGUAUGAAGAAGGCCUUCGGGUUGUAAAGUACUUUCAGCGGGGAGGAAGGCAAUACGGUUAAUAACCGUGUUGAUUGACGUUACCCGCAGAAGAAGCACCGGCUAACUCCGUGCCAGCAGCCGCGGUAAUACGGAGGGUGCAAGCGUUAAUCGGAAUUACUGGGCGUAAAGCGCACGCAGGCGGUCUGUCAAGUCGGAUGUGAAAUCCCCGGGCUCAACCUGGGAACUGCAUUCGAAACUGGCAGGCUUGAGUCUUGUAGAGGGGGGUAGAAUUCCAGGUGUAGCGGUGAAAUGCGUAGAGAUCUGGAGGAAUACCGGUGGCGAAGGCGGCCCCCUGGACAAAGACUGACGCUCAGGUGCGAAAGCGUGGGGAGCAAACAGGAUUAGAAACCCUAGUAGUCCC